rnacentral:rRNA from 1 species
AUGAACGCUGGCGGCGUGCCUAAUACAUGCAAGUCGAGCGAACAGAUGAGGAGCUUGCUCCUCUGACGUUAGCGGCGGACGGGUGAGUAACACGUGGAUAACCUACCUAUAAGACUGGGAUAACUUCGGGAAACCGGAGCUAAUACCGGAUAAUAUAUUGAACCGCAUGGUUCAAUAGUGAAAGACGGUUUUGCUGUCACUUAUAGAUGGAUCCGCGCCGCAUUAGCUAGUUGGUAAGGUAACGGCUUACCAAGGCAACGAUGCGUAGCCGACCUGAGAGGGUGAUCGGCCACACUGGAACUGAGACACGGUCCAGACUCCUACGGGAGGCAGCAGUAGGGAAUCUUCCGCAAUGGGCGAAGGCCUGACGGAGCAACGCCGCGUGAGUGAUGAAGGUCUUCGGAUCGUAAAACUCUGUUAUUAGGGAAGAACAAAUGUGUAAGUAACUAUGCACGUCUUGACGGUACCUAAUCAGAAAGCCACGGCUAACUACGU